rnacentral:ncRNA from 3 species
ACCACAGGGAUAACUGGC